GCUUCGGUAGCGUAGCCGGUAGCGCGUCAGUCUCAUAUAACCUGUGCGAUCUGAAGGCCGUGAGUUCGAUCCUCACCCGGAGCA
rfam:Tulasnella calospora MTT 4182 unplaced genomic scaffold scaffold_113, whole genome shotgun sequence.